rnacentral:rRNA from 1 species
AACGGAGGAAAAGAAACCAACAGGGAUUGCCUCAGUAACGGCGAGUGAAGCGGCAACAGCUCAAAUUUGAAAUCUGGCCCCCCGGCCCGAGUUGUAAUUUGCAGAGGAUGCUUCGGGCGCGGUGCCUUCCAAGUCCCCUGGAACGGGGCGCCAUAGAGGGUGAGAGCCCCGUCUGGUUGGCCGCCAAGCCUGUGUGAAGCUCCUUCGACGAGUCGAGUAGUUUGGGAAUGCUGCUCUAAACGGGAGGUAGACCCCUUCUAAAGCUAAAUACCGGCCAGAGACCGAUAGCGCACAAGUAGAGUGAUCGAAAGAUGAAAAGCACUUUGAAAAGAGGGUUAAACAGUACGUGAAAUUGUUGAAAGGGAAGCGCUUGUGACCAGACGUGCGCCGGGUGUUCAGCGGGCGUUUUCGCCCGUGCAUUCGCCCCGGCGCAGGCCAGCGUCGGUUCGGACGGGGGGACAAAGGCGCCAGGAACGUAGCUCCCCCGGGAGUGUUAUAGCCUGGCGCGCCAUGCCCCCGCCCGGACCGAGGUUCGCGCUCCGCAAGGACGCUGGCGUAAUGGUCCCCAGCGGCCCGUCUUGAAACACGGACCAAGGAGUCGAGGUUUUACGCGAGUGUCUGGGUGUCAAACCCGCACGCGAAAUGAAAGUGAACGCAGGUGGGAGCUUCGGCGCACCACCGACCGAUCCUGAUGUUCUCGGAUGGAUUUGAGUAGGAGCGUGGGGCCUCGGACCCGAAAGAUGGUGAACUAUACUUGGAUAGGGUGAAGCCAGAGGAAACUCUGGUGGAGGCUCGCAGCGGUUCUGACGUGCAAAUCGAUCGUCAAAUCUGAGUAUGGGGGCGAAAGACUAAUCGAACCAUCUAGUA